CUGAAGUCCGUGGAUCCAAUUUUGAAUUUUGUCCACUCGAGUCGACUCGACUGUCCUUGGAGUCGACUCGAAUCUCAGAGCCCGAACUCCCGAUCCUCUGUCUUUUGGCUCGUCCAGUCUUGGAGUCGACUCGAACUUCCUUGGAGUCGACUCGGCUCUCAGUUUCCGAAAGUUGGUCUUCUGCCUUUUGACGUGAAGCUGUCUUGGAGUCGACUCGAGCUGUCUGGGAGUCGACUCGAAUCUCAGAGGCAGUAACUUGGUUUUCUGUCUGUCUUGGGGUCGCGGUGUCUUGGAG
rnacentral:lncRNA from 1 species